rnacentral:misc_RNA from 1 species
AGCAGCCGCGGUAAUUCCAGCUCCAAUAGCGUAUAUUAAAGUUGUUGCAGUUAAAAGCUCGUAGUUGAAUUUCGGGAUCAGUAGGUCGGUCAUGCCUCAGGUAUGUACUGGUCUCACUGGUUCCUCCUUCCUGAUGAACCGUAAUGCCAUUAAUUUGGUGUUGCGGGGAAACUGGACUGUUACUUUGAAAAAUUGAGUGUUUAAAGCAGGCUAACGCUUGAAUACAUUAGCAUGGAAUAAUGAAAUAGGACGUUCGAUCCUAUUUUGUUGGUUUCUAGGAUUGACGUAAUGAUUAAUAGGGAUAGUUGGGGGCAUUAGUAUUCAAUUGUCAGAGGUGAAAUUCUUGGAUUUAUUGGAAGACUAACUACUGCGAAAGCAUUUGCCAAGGAUGUUUUCAUUAAUCAAGAACGAAAGUUAGGGAUCGAAGACGA